AACGAACGCUGGCGGCAGGCUUAACACAUGCAAGUCGAGCGAAUGGAUUAAGAGCUUGCUCUUAUGAAGUUAGCGGCGGACGGGUGAGUAACACGUGGGUAACCUGCCCAUAAGACUGGGAUAACUCCGGGAAACCGGGGCUAAUACCGGAUAACAUUUUGAACCGCAUGGUUCGAAAUUGAAAGGCGGCUUCGGCUGUCACUUAUGGAUGGACCCGCGUCGCAUUAGCUAGUUGGUGAGGUAACGGCUCACCAAGGCAACGAUGCGUAGCCGACCUGAGAGGGUGAUCGGCCACACUGGGACUGAGACACGGCCCAGACUCCUACGGGAGGCAGCAGUAGGGAAUCUUCCGCAAUGGACGAAAGUCUGACGGAGCAACGCCGCGUGAGUGAUGAAGGCUUUCGGGUCGUAAAGCUCUGUUGUUAGGGAAGAACAAGUGCUAGUUGAAUAAGCUGGCACCUUGACGGUACCUAACCAGAAAGCCACGGCUAACUACGUGCCAGCCGCCGCCGUAA
rnacentral:rRNA from 1 species